CCUAUCAGCUUUAGACGGUAGGGUAUUGGCCUACCGUGGCAAUGACGGGUAACGGGGAAUUAGGGUUCGAUUCCGGAGAGGGAGCCUGAGAAACGGCUGGCGCAUUUAAGGAAGGCAGCAGGCGUGCAAAUUACCCAAUCCUAAUACAGGGAGGUAGUGACAAGAAAUAACAAUACAGGAUUUUAACAGUUUUGUAAUUGGAAUGAGUUGAGUAUAAACCCCUUUACAAGUAUCAAUUGGAGGGCAAGUCUGGUGCCAGCAGCCGCGGUAAUUCCAGCUCCAAUAGCGUAUAUUAAAGUUGUUGCAGUUAAAAAGCUCGUAGUUGGAUUUCUGUUAAUAAUUUAUAUAUAAUAUUUAACAUAUUUAUAUAAUAUUAACAUAAUUCAUAUUACUAUUUAUAGUAUAUGAAACUUUACUUUGAGAAAAUUAGAGUGCUUAAAGCAGGCUUUUGCCUUGAAUACUAGAGCAUGGAAUAAUAUUAAAGAUUUUUAUCUUUCUUAUUGGUUCUAAGAUAGAAAUAAUGAUUAAUAGGGACAGUGGGGGGCAUUUGUAUUUAACAGUUAGAGGUGAAA
rnacentral:rRNA from 1 species